GAUGAAGAACGUAGCGAAAUGCGAUACGUGGUGUGAAUUGCAGAAUCCCGUGAACCAUCGAGUCUUUGAACGCAAGUUGCGCCCGAAGCCAUUAGGCCGAGGGCACGCCUGCCUGGGCGUCACACGUCGUUGCCCCCCCCAUCUACUCCUUCGGGAUUGCGGGGGGCGGAUGAUGGCCUCCCGUGCGCCUCGCCGCGCGGUUGGCAUAAAUGCCAAGUCCUCGGCGACGCACGCCACGACAAUCGGUGGUUGCGAAACCUCGGUUGCCCGUCGUGUGCGGUCGUCGCGCAUCGAGGGCUCGAAAAAAUUGCCGAGUUCCGGCUCGGCUUUCAACGCGACCCCAGGUCAGGCGGGGUUACCCGCUGAAUUUAAGCAUAUCAAUAAGCGGAGGA
rnacentral:misc_RNA from 1 species